rnacentral:tRNA from 1 species
UGAGGAGUUGAUGAGCGGCUUAAGUCGCACGAUUAGAAAUCGUGUACAGUUUUCCUGUCAAGGGUUCGAAUCCCUUCUCUUCAU